UUGAGAAUUUUGCUAGCAACAUGGUGAAAUCGAUUUGUAAAAAAAACUUAGUACUGCUUAUUCGAAAAAAUUUCGUAGUCAUUUCACAAAAGUUAUUUUAUAGUGCGUCAAGUCAACAUUACAACUAUAAAUUUCAACUGAAUCUAAACGAAUACUCCAGCCUUUGAUAACUUACUGAAGCCAAAUCAAAUCCCAAAUUACCCAUGAACAUGUCAUUAAGGAGCAGAUUCGAGACUUCUUCCAUAUCACGAAAUUUUACUUGGCCAAAUACCUUACAAAUGUCACAAUGUCCAAAAAAUUGGUAAAAUGGGACCUGACAUUGCUGCUUCCGAUGAUAAUCUCUUCCGAUAUAUACAAUCGAUCGGUUCUUUUAUUAAUUCUUAUUAUGAUAAAGUCAUAACAUGGAUUGAUGAUUGGAACUCAGUAAAAGAGCAAG